GGAGUGUGAAAAUGAAUGAAAGGAAACCUCAUUCACAACCUCCGGGAGGCUGGCAGGUGAAGCCCUCCUGCCCUGACUCUUUGUCAAGUGCAGAUCCCAACUAGCAAGUGGAUGCUGCCUUCCUCUCCCAGCUGAAGGGGAGAAAGGAAACCCCAAACUGCUGUCCCAAUGAGACAGGCGUACAUGAACGUGGCCUCGGGAGAGCAACUGUAGGACCAGAGUAGAGAUGGCUGCCUCCUUCAGAAAACUGCAGUAGAAUACAAGGGUAUGCACCUUCUAUCUAAACUAGUUCCACCCAAGAAUAUGCCUCCAAAGCUAUGAAUUACUGAAAUUUGCAGAAAUAGCACUGGGCUGUUUUGAAAGCCAUCCUAUGAGAUGAGGAAAAAGAUACCUGGUUUGACUAUGAGCUUGAACAUGGAAAGACUUUGGACUUUUAUCCAUUCAGCCACACUUCUUUUUGAGACAGCUGCUUUUCUGUCCCAGGAGUCGUGGGCAAGGCUCUGAAAUAUCUGGAGGACAGCCAGAUCUUGACCUACCAGUACGGGAUCCCGACCUCUCUCCAGAAGACAGGCCAGCAGUGGGACUUCCCCAAUGCCUGGGCCCCCUUGCAGGACCUGGUCAUCAGAGGCAGUGGCUUUCCAGCUGGCUCAGAAUUGGAUCCGAACCAACUUUGAGGUCUACUCCAGAAAGUCAGCCAUGUAUGAGAAGUAUGACAUCAGCAACGGUGGUCAGCCAGGUGGUGGAGGGAGUAUGAAGUUCAGUUGAAGGCCUUAAUAGAAAAACACGGACCUCCCCAAAAGAAGAGGGAAUUCUGCCUAGAGACUGCCUUUAGACUUCUCUGGGCCUCCAGCCUGAGGAUCUAACUUGCAGCUUUUGGACUUGCCAGCCUCCAUAGUCACACCCAAGCCAUCGAUCCACACGUGGGACGGAACCUUGAGCCAUUCUGUUUGAGAUGUUAAAGGAAAAGGUAACUCUCUGCCGUGGUGAUCUUGGAGCCACCAGAGCGAUUGGCAUCUGGGUCACAGAUGUGGGACCAACUUGUGCCCCCGACACCGGGGCACCCCAGUCACCCACCACCACCCCACCACAUGAGGGAAGGGCUUAGCAGGUGGCACCCGCUGAGACUAAGAAACGAAGAGGAAAAGUCCACAGUGGGGAGCAGGGGUCGGCUUCUGCAAGCUGAGCCGGGACAGCAAGGCCACGCAGACCUGAGAUACAGCGCCCAGGGUGGCCACGCCUCACUUGUGGACUUUGGCAGCCCGGGU